GACGGAAGGUGCAAGCGUUGCUCGGAAUCACUGGGCGUAAAGGGCGCGUAGGCGGCACCGCAAGUCGACUGUGAAAUCUCCGGGCUUAACCCGGAAAGGUCAGCCGAUACUGCGGGGCUAGAGUGCAGAAGGGGCAACUGGAAUUCUCGGUGUAGCGGUGAAAUGCGUAGAUAUCGAGAGGAACACCUGCGGCGAAGGCGGGUUGCUGGGCUGACACCGACGCUGAUGCGCGAAAGCUAGGGGAGCGAACGGG
rnacentral:rRNA from 1 species